rnacentral:rRNA from 1 species
AGAUUGAACGCUGGCGGCGUGCUUAACACAUGCAAGUCGAGCGGUAACGCGGGAGCAAUCCUGGCGACGAGCGGCGAACGGGUGAGUAAUGCUUGGGAAUCUGCCCAUUAGUGGGGAACAACCAGCCGAAAGGUUGGCUAAUACCGCAUACGCCCUACGGGGGAAAGCGGGGGAUCGAAAGACCUCGCGCUAAUGGAUGAGCCCAAGUCGGAUUAGCUUGUUGGUAGGGUAACGGCCUACCAAGGCGACAAUCCGUAGCUGGUCUGAGAGGACGACCAGCCACACUGGGACUGAGACACGGCCCAGACUCCUACGGGAGGCAGCAGUGGGGAAUAUUGGACAAUGGGGGCAACCCUGAUCCAGCGACGCCGCGUGUGUGAAGAAGGCCUGCGGGUUGUAAAGCACUUUUAGUGGGGAUGAAAAGCUCAGGGUUAACACCUCUGGGUCUUGACCUAACCCACAGAAAAAGCACCGGCUAACUCUGCGCCAGCAGCCGC